rnacentral:hammerhead_ribozyme from 1 species
AUCUAGCUGACGAGUUCCAAAUAGGACGAAACGCGCGUCCUGAAU